rnacentral:tRNA from 1 species
GGGUCAGUGUCCCGAGCGGCAAAGGGGGCGGACUGUAAAUCCGCUGGCGAUACGCCUUCGUAGGUUCGAGUCCUACCUGGCCCACCA